CAUGGUUUAUAUAAAAUCUUUAUGUAAAGUAGUUGCCUAAAUAGACCACAAUGUGUCACUGUUGUUCUGCGUUUGCUUUUUAGAAUUAAGCGAGAGCUCUCGUUUGUCCCUUACAGUAACCCGUAGUUCAGCUUUUGGUCCAAUCGGGUGGUGCUUUGGGUUUAGAGUUUCCUGUGUUUGAGUUGGAAGACAGAAGGAGAAAGUGUGAACAUGUUAAAGGAUGACACUAAGAUCAGGCGGAGCAGAGUGUGACAGUGCGGUCAGCAGAAGACGACAGGAAGGACAGCUCGUCCGUGUGCCAGCGGCACUGGAUGACCUUGUCUCCGUGUUCUCCCACCACAGUCAGAGGCAGCGGUUUAGUCAAAUCACCUACAGACACAGACAGAAAAUCACCAACUCCAAUAGUGACACUUGUGUGACUUGAGUGGUGACGGUUUGAUGAGUGUUUUUUUUUUUUUUUAAAGUGGGAUUUUUCCACACAAUAAAGACGUGUAAAUAUUUCUUAAAAUGUAUACUCUAAAGCUGACAGUUUCAUUAUUAAACACAUGCACAUGUG